CUGACCAGCACGUAUGGGUCGACGUUAAAAAAACGAGCCCGUUCCAUCCGCUCUAAAAAAUGUGCAGAUGGAUGCGUUAUUGUCAG
rnacentral:ncRNA from 1 species